UCCAGCUUCUUUCAGGCAUCUCUUUGGGGUGGAGAGGCCAUCUCUUGAGCUAACUGAAGACAAAAUGGAGAGGCUUCCAGGGCCUUUUAUAUUCUCUUCUCUUGUGGGCAGAAAUCCCUUUGUUCUUUUGUGCAAAAGCAUAGCAACAAGAUGGAGUGUUGAUUCCAAGUACCCUCAGUGAAGAAUUUG